CAACCCUUGUUGCUAGUUAUACUUUUCUAGCGAGACUGCCGGGAUAUACCCGGAGGAAGGUGGGGAUGACGUCAAGUCAGCAUGGCCUUUAUAUCCCAGGGCGUACACACACGCCACAAUGGCCGGUACAGAGGGUUGCCAAGCCGUGAGGCGGGAGCCAAUCUCACAAAGCCGGUCUCAGUUCGGAUUGAAGGCUGCAACUCGCCUUCAUGAAGCUGGAGUUGCUAGUAACCGCAGGUCAGCCAUACUGCGGUGAAUACGUUCCCGGGGAUU
rnacentral:rRNA from 1 species